UUUGAAGACGCAAAAUAAUUUUCUUUUUAAAAUUUUAUUUUAAAAUAUAUUUGUAAACUGUAAUUUGUUUCAUAGAUUUUAUCUUUAUUUAUAAUAUAAUUGUAUUAAUAUAAUUGCGUUGAUUAUUUAUAUUUUUGUUUUUAAAUGAUUAUCUUUGUUUAUAAAAUAAUAAUAGAUUUCUAAUACGUCUACACAGAGUUAGAGUAACAUUACAUCAUCAUGUUUUAAAAGGUUUCAAAACUUA
rnacentral:lncRNA from 1 species